rnacentral:lncRNA from 1 species
CACAUUAUUUCAACCACUAAAGUUCUGGGUUCUUUGUUACACAACAAUAGAUAACUAAAACCAUGGGAGAUAAGACUGUAUAGGGAAGUCAGGUAAUGCAAGUCCUUUCAAGCUAUGGUAGUAAUUUUUGUUUUGAUCCAUACUGCAAAGGGAAGACUUGACAGUGUCAGAUGAUCUGAUCUGCAUUUUCAAAAGGUUAUUAUGACUGCACAGUGAUAAAUGGAUAGGAAACAUCAUGGCGAAAGAAUAAGAGUGGAUGUAUGGAGAUCAGUUAUGAGGCUGUUUUAGUUGUCUAGAAUUUGAGCCAAUAUAGAGACCAUUGCACCCCAGUCUAAAUCUGACUUUCCUCUGGAGAGUAAGAAGAAAAGGAAGGAGGAGGAAACAUGGACGAUUCUGGCAGAGAGAAGCCGUUACCCAGUGUGGUCCAUGACACAUCUUGGUUGGUUUAGCGAAUGAUACUUGUAAUCAAAUCUCCUAUCAAUAUACAAGAUGCGUGUUUUGGCUAUUAGAAGCUGGUGCAAAAAGAAAUUUUCUGGAGGCACAUUUUGGCAAAGUAGCAAGGGAAGAAAUGGAAAAGAGGUACAAACUUUCUAUUUUGGAUUGUAAACUGCUUAAAGUUUUCAGUCUAGAAGAGUUUCAAAUAUGACUCCUCUCCUGACCAGAUACCUUCAACAGAAUCAAAUGCCUGUGCUUUCUCCCUGUCUUUCAAGAAGGCACAUUGACGUGCUCUCAUCCUGAGCUGCCUAGGUAAAAAAAAAAUCUUAUUUUGGUGUUUAGUUACAUUUCUUCUCUUUCACUAGAAUUCAGUAUGCCACUGCGGUAUGCUGAGGAUCUAUGUAACAUGAGUAUGAUCAUUAACACUGUACUCCUAGGUUUCUAUGUUCUGAGUUUCAUGGUGGACAAGAACAAUUAUAUUAAAUUAUCCUUCAAGGCUCGAUGAAGCUUCUGUAAACAGAAAUUUAUUGAGCAUAUAAGAGAAUUAAGAGCAAAUAAGAAGCAGCGGGGUAGAGGGGCUAGAAGAAAAACACUACAGCAUUAUUUGGAAGGACUAAAGGACAUCGAGAAAACCACCGCUCACUAUCAACCCAACCUCUUUAAAGCUUGCUUAUACUUCAAAGUUUCUAUUUUCGCAAGAUAUGUAUUGGUAAGAGUUUCACAUAGGAAAAUUGUGUGAAUCAUUUUCUUUGAGCAAAAGCUCUACCUUGUCAAGGUAAUGAGUUCUAUGUCAAUAUUUUUCUUUUUUUCCUCUCAGCUUUAAGUACAAAAUCAGUCUGCAGUGAUGUGCUCAGAAUUUGUGGCUCUUCAGAAUGACGUUUUUCCCCAAGGGUCAUCUCGUUUUGGGAUAACUGCAGACUUUACUUGGGUAUACUUUCAUUCCUUCUUCUUUUACAAAGCCACAGGGUAAAUUCAACAUGACAGUGUGAGUGAUAUGCUUGGUAAAUUUGCACUAACAUAUGCAAAUUUGGGGAGGAAUUAUUUAUAAGGGAGUAAUAUGUUCAAAUUUUUUUAAUAA